GUAAUGAUUAAUAGGGAUAGUCGGGGGCAUCAGUAUUCAAUUGUCAGAGGUGAAAUUCUUGGAUUUAUUGAAGACUAACUACUGCGAAAGCAUUUGCCAAGGAUGUUUUCAUUAAUCAGUGAACGAAAGUUAGGGGAUCGAAGACGAUCAGAUACCGUCGUAGUCUUAACCAUAAACUAUGCCGACUAGGGAUCGGGCGGUGUUCAACUUAUGACCCGCUCGGCACCUUACGAGAAAUCAAAGUUUUUGGGUUCUGGGGGGAGUAUGGUCGCAAGGCUGAAACUUAAAGGAAUUGACGGAAGGGCACCACCAGAUGUGGAGCCUGCGGCUUAAUUUGACUCAACACGGGGAAACUCACCAGGUCCAGACACAUUAAGGAUUGACAGAUUGAGAGCUCUUUCUUGAUUAUGUGGGUGGUGGUGCAUGGCCGUUCUUAGUUGGUGGAGUGAUUUGUCUGCUUAAUUGCGAUAACGAACGAGACCUUAACCUGCUAAAUAGCCUGGCUAGCUUUUGCUGGUCACCGGCUUCUUAGAGGGACUAUCGGCUCAAGCCGAUGGAAGUUUGAGGCAAUAACAGGUCUGUGAUGCCCUUAGAUGUUCUGGGGCCGCACGCGCGCUACACUGACAGAGCCAACGAGUAUAACCCUUAGCCGAAGAGGUUUAGGUAAUCUUGUUAAA
rnacentral:rRNA from 1 species